AGAUCAACUGAGCUCAGGAAUUCAAGGCUGCUGUGAGCCAUUAUUGCACCUCUGCAAUUCAGCCUGGACAACGAAGUGACUCCUUCUCUCAAAAAAAAAAAAAAAAUUAUAUAACACAGUAUCUAUCUUCAAAGAGUUGGGAAGACAGAACUAAAUGAAACCAUUGCAGAAGAAAUAAACACUAAGCAAUAAUGUGCAGGAUGGAAACCAAAAAGAAAUUAGAAGAAAGAAUGUUCAAUACAGGCCGGGUGCGGUGGCUCACACCUGUAAUCCCAGCACCUUAGGAGCCUGAGGCGGGCAGAUAACGAGGUCAGGAGUUUGAGACCAGCCUGACCAACAUGGUGAAAACCCGUCUCUACUAAAAAUACAAAAAUUAGCCAGGUGUGGUGGCGCACACCUGUAAUCCCAGUUACUCAGGAGGCUGAGGCAGGAGAAUCACUUGAACCUGGGAGGCGGAGGUUGCAGUGAGCCAAAAUUGUGCCACUGCACUCCAGCCUGGGUGACAGAGUGAGACUCGUCUAUUUAAAAAAAAAAAAAACGUUCAAUAUGAGCUGGAGAGGACUGUAUGAAUGGAGACUUGAGUUUGGCUCUCAAGGCAAAUAGGAAUUUGUUAGAUUGGCUAAGUUGCAGGAGCAAAUUUAGAGGUAGGAAUGAGCUAGAUGUUGCUGGGGACAGUGACUAGGUAAUGGGUGGAAAAAGGGUUUCAUUUUAAGUGCCAACUCUAGUCAUUUUUUGGUGUUGUCUGGGGCAUCAUAUUGGGAAGUAUUCAGAGACUCAGCAGGCCUCAGCAGGUGAUGAGAAAGGCAUGAGAACGAGCUGGAAGGAGAAUGAGGCACCGAGAGGCCCAAGCUGAAAGAAAUAAAGACUUCCAGUACAUCACCCUGACAGUAAAGAGCGAAGGAAAAGUGACGUCUGCUUCAAGACUAGUAAGGAAAUGGAAAUGUCAGAACACAGUAGCUGGGUUGCUAAGGUGUGUGGAACAAAAUAAGACAUCUACGCAUUGA
rnacentral:lncRNA from 1 species